rnacentral:rRNA from 2 species
CCACCCUUUAAUGUUUGAUGUUCUAACGUGGACCCGUGAUCCGGGUUGCGGACAGUGUCUGGUGGGUAGUUUGACUGGGGCGGUCUCCUCCUAAAGAGUAACGGAGGAGCACGAAGGUUGGCUAAUCCUGGUCGGACAUCAGGAGGUUAGUGCAAUGGCAUAAGCCAGCUUGACUGCGAGCGUGACGGCGCGAGCAGGUGCGAAAGCAGGUCAUAGUGAUCCGGUGGUUCUGAAUGGAAGGGCCAUCGCUCAACGGAUAAAAGGUACUCCGGGGAUAACAGGCUGAUACCGCCCAAGAGUUCAUAUCGACGGCGGUGUUUGGCACCUCGAUGUCGGCUCAUCACAUCCUGGGGCUGAAGUAGGUCCCAAGGGUAUGGCUGUUCGCCAUUUAAAGUGGUACGCGAGCUGGGUUUAGAACGUCGUGAGACAGUUCGGUCCCUAUCUGCCGUGGGCGCUGGAGAACUGAGGGGGGCUGCUCCUAGUACGAGAGGACCGGAGUGGACGCAUCACUGGUGUUCGGGUUGUCAUGCCAAUGGCACUGCCCGGUAGCUAAAUGCGGAAGAGAUAAGUGCUGAAAGCAUCUAAGCACGAAACUUGCCCCGAG